rnacentral:rRNA from 1 species
CAGUCGCCGCGGUAAUACAGAGGGUGCGAGCGUUAAUCGGAUUUACUGGGCGUAAAGCGUGCGUAGGCGGCUUUUUAAGUCUGAUGUGAAAUCCCUGAGCUUAACUUAGGAAUUGCAUUCGAUACUGGGAAGCUAGAGUAUGGGAGAGGAUGGUAGAAUUCCAGGUGUAUCGGUGAAAUGCGUAGAGAUCUGGAGGAAUACCGAUGGCGAAGGCAGCCAUCUGGCCUAAUACUGACGCUGAGGUACGAAAGCAUGGGGAGCAAACAGGAUUAGAUACCCCUGUAGUCCCUGUCUCUUAUAC